rfam:Zootermopsis nevadensis contig21879, whole genome shotgun sequence.
GUCAGAAUGGCCGAGCGGUCUAAGGCGCCAGACUCAAGGCACGUCCUUGCCUAUGCUAUAGGUUCUUAGAAUUCUGGUCCUCUCUGAGGGCGUGGGUUCGAAUCCCACUUCUGACA